rnacentral:lncRNA from 1 species
CCCAGGACUUCUACUUCAACAACAAAUGUGGUUUUGGUUCCAAAUAAUCCAUAGUUAUAUUCAAAUACCUCCGUUUUGUUCGUGCGUUCAGGUCACUAUCCGAAGGGUAACGCGUGAGCGCAUUUCGUGACAAUUUUUUCUAAAAUAUUCCAUUACCGUACUUAGAAGCAUGUCAAACGCUGUUUAACCUGUUAGGGCUAGGGGGCAGUAUUGACACGGCUGGAUAAAAAAACGUACCCGAUUUAAUCUGGUUACUACUCCUGCCCAGUAACUAGAAUAUGCAUAUAAUUAUUGGCUUUGGAUAGAAAACACUCCAAAGUUUCUAAAACUGUUUGAAUAGUGUCUGUGAGUAUAACAGAACUCAAAUGGCAGGUCAAAACCUGAGAAGAUUCUGUACAGGAAGUACCCUGUCUGACCAUUUCUUGGCCUUCUUUGCCAUCUCUAUCCAUUACAAAGGAUCUCUGCUGUUACGUGACACUUCCUACGGCUGCGAUAGGCUCUCAGAAGGCGGCAAAAAGCUGAAUCGUGGCUUUGCAGGCUCUGGCUGAAAAAAAGUAGCGCGUUUGGGUAGUGGCUGGUUACAGUACUGUGAGACUCAGGCGCGUGCCCGCGUCGACCGAAUGCUUUGUUUUCUUUCCUCUGUUUACCUAAACGGAGAUUCCCGGGCGGAAUAUUAUCGCUUUUUUACGAGAAAAAUGGCAUAAAAAUGGAUUUUAAACAGCGGUUGACAUGCUUCGAAUGUCUGGAACGCACGAACAAAACGCAGCUAUUUGGAUAUAACGAUGGAUUAUUUUGGACCAAACCAACAUUUGUUAUUGAAGUAGCAGUCCUGGGAGUGCAUUCUGACGAAGACAACAAAGAGGGAGAGAAACCAAAAGUCCACCAUCGCCUCAUGGGUUUCCCAGUCGCGGCUGGCAUGGGUAUCGUACCAGCAUCUGUAGCAACGCAGUUUGCACUGCAAUGCAGUGUCUUAGACCGCUGCGCCACUCUGUUAGGAAAAUAUGGCCUGUACAACGUGACCGUUUCCACACCCUAAUCACAGUCAGAAGACAGUUGAAGAAACUUGUGUGGACUUAUGGAAAGGCUCGGCCCAGAUCAAAGCUGUCGAGACAUUCAAUGACGUCAUCUUCACAGACUAAUCAACUCUGGCCCUUGAGCAAUUUGCUCAAAAUUGCUACAGAAAAAAGGAAGAAGAUCAAGCAAGCCGAUUCCCAAGCAUCUGCUCAAACUCCAUGUGUGGGGGGCAAUUUCUCGCCAGAGACCAGGCCCAUAUUUGAUUUGAUGGUAUCAUGGCUCGAGAUUUUUUUGAGGAAGAAAUCAUCAAGAGAUAUGCUGGACCCUAUGUCCGAGAGACAAUGACCCAAAACACACUGCCUCCUGGGUUUGCAUUGCAAAUGAGGGCUUUUACCCGCGGUCAUGGAGCUGGGUGGAAGUGCAACUAAAAUGUAGUUUAAAUAAACAUCUGCAUUUUGAAUGUCUUUUUUGUCGUUAUUUUAUUAUCGAAAGCAUAAAGAUGUUGAUGAAGAAAUACUGUACUGCUGUUUUGAGUUAGAAAUGUAACACUUUAGAGUACUUAAGCAUUGAAUAAAAGUUGGGGGAUGUUCACUCCUACAGUAGC